rnacentral:rRNA from 1 species
AUUGAACGCUGGCGGCAUGCCUUACACAUGCAAGUCGAACGGUAACAGGUUAAGCUGACGAGUGGCGAACGGGUGAGUAAUAUAUCGGAACGUGCCCAGUCGUGGGGGAUAACUGCUCGAAAGAGCAGCUAAUACCGCAUACGACCUGAGGGUGAAAGCGGGGGAUCGCAAGACCUCGCGCGAUUGGAGCGGCCGAUAUCAGAUUAGGUAGUUGGUGGGGUAAGAGCCCACCAAGCCAACGAUCUGUAGCUGGUCUGAGAGGACGACCAGCCACACUGGGACUGGGACACGGCCCAGACUCCUACGGGAGGCAGCGGUGGGGAAUUUUGGACAAUGGGCGCAAGCCUGAUCCAGCCAUGCCGCGUGCGGGAAGAAGGCCUUCGGGUUGUAAACCGCUUUUGUCAGGGAAGAAAAGGUUCUGGUUAAUACCUGGGACUCAUGACGGUACCUGAAGAAUAAGCACCGGCUAACUACGUGCCAGCCGCCGCAGUAA